rnacentral:tRNA from 1 species
GCCUCAGUAGCUCAGUGGAUAGAGCAUCGGACUUCUAAUCCGCAGGUCGUAGGUUCGACUCCUACCUGGGGCG